UGGGGAAUUUUGGACAAUGGGCGAAAGCCUGAUCCAGCAAUGCCGCGUGUGUGAAGAAGGCCUUCGGGUUGUAAAGCACUUUUGUCCGGAAAGAAAUCCUCUGGGUUAAUACCUCGGGGGGAUGACGGUACCGGAAGAAUAAGCACCGGCUAACUACGUGCCAGCAGCCGCGGUAAUACGUAGGGUGCAAGCGUUAAUCGGAAUUACUGGGCGUAAAGCGUGCGCAGGCGGUUUUGUAAGACGGAUGUGAAAUCCCCGGGCUUAACCUGGGAACUGCAUUCGUGACUGCAAGGCUAGAGUAUGGCAGAGGGGGGUAGAAUUCCACAUGUAGCAGUGAAAUGCGUAGAGAUGUGGAGGAAUACCGAUGGCGAAGGCAGCCCCCUGGGCCAAUACUGACGCUCAUGCACGAAAGCGUGGGGAGCAAACAGGAUUAGAUACCCUGGUAGUCCACGCCCUAAACGAUGUCAACUAGUUGUUGGGGAUUCAUUUCCUUAGUAACGUAGCUAACGCGUGAAGUUGACCGCCUGGGGAGUACGGUCGCAAGAUUAAAACUUAAAUGAAUUGACGGGGUCAUAGCUGUUUCCU
rnacentral:rRNA from 1 species